rnacentral:lncRNA from 1 species
GAAUUUAGGACUCCAGCACAUUCCCUUUCCAUUUCUCCUUUUUCCUUUAUUUUUUCUCAAUCACUUUCCUUCUCCUCCCUCUCCCAUUUACGAAGGAGAAUUCACCUUCUCCCUUUCCUCCCCUUCCUCGCCUGCCGCACGAUCUGCAGGCCACAGGAUUUCUUGGCCGCCCGAUCCACCUCGCCGGCCACCGUCGUCCGUCCUCCGCGCACGCCGCCGGCCACCGC